CAAUUUACAAACUGAAAUCCCCAAGAAACCUAGUAGUUGCUAGUGUGCUACACCUACGGAUGCGAAACCUUACGGAAAGAUUACGCGCUGACGGGUCUCCUGACGUGUUGCCAGCGUGGAAUAGAAACCUAGUCCGCACGGUAAGAUAAAAAAAAAAAAACAGUCACGCAAGGUAAAUCCCCGAUCCUAUCUCCUGGGGACGGAGCGAGGCGGCGUCGCGCCGUGAUCUUGCGUCGGCCCGGCCGUUGUCGGUUGCAGCUGCUGGACGGCAAGCGCCGUCUCCCCGGUGAGCUGCUGGACGGGCGGACGACGUCUCCCUGGCGAGCUGCUGGACGUCAAGAGGCGUGCUGCUGAACGGGAAGCGACGCCUGCGUGGAGAGCUGCUGGACGGAAGCCGGCGGCGCGCAAGCUGUUGGACCACAGGCGGCAGCCUUGGCGAGCUCUUAGUACGGGCGCCUGCAGGCAGGGCAUGGUUCCAUCAUCGACGACAAGGCAGGCGAGGCCCAACUGUAGCCUUGGUGCUGCAUCUGGUAUGUACAUGUGCAGUAUGAGCAGUAGACCAUGGACUUGUAGGUAUAUGGAAGAAGACAAAUUGUAGAGUUGUCUUUGAGAUCUGAAUGUUGACGUCAAGUAGCAAAGCAAGCCUACAGUUCUGGAGUUGGAUACCAGAACUGUGACUGCAGUUGUAAAUAAAAUGCUUGGAGCUUCAUAAGAAGUUGGGAUCUACAAAAAUAUAAAAAAUCUGAAGGCAUAACAUAGUCCAUAGCUUAGCAGUUCUUGAUGAACUAGGAAUAAUGGUGUUUUUUUUGGACAGUAUCCCAGGAACUUACCAACUGGUUGUAAGAGAAAUGUUGUAAACUCUGAUAUUGUAAAAUAUACAAUGUAGUUAUGAUCUUGAUAUUUUAAAGGAUUGUAAACCUUGGUCUAACAACUUGUAUUGUGGAAUAAUGAAUAAGAAAUAUGUUUGCUGGAAA